ACACCUAAACAAGUAGUGUGUACACAAGGAAGGUUUUUCCUGGGUAAUUUAGUUUCCAUUUGCCCUCCGUCGGCUCUACUCUGUUCGUAGCACUAGCGACUGGUCCCAUUCGUGUCGACGCCCUGUUCGCGUGACCAUCGCUCAAGUUCUCCGCUGCAGGCCCCUCCGCUGUUGUUGGUCGCACUCCGCAACCCCUCAAAACAUUUGUUAGCAUUAACAGCAUUCGAAGCAAUCCAUUUGGGUGAUUUUUGAAACCUAAACAAGUGGUGCGUACACAAGGAAGCCUUUUUGAGGGUUACGUUUUUUCUAAUUCUCAGUGUUUGCAAAAGACAAAGAAUUUCUGCAUUUUUCCUGGCUAGUUUAGUUUCCAUCAUCAGGAAAUUUGAGGUAAAGGGUUUCAUGAUUUUGGAGUCGCAACAUCGGAUUGUUGAGGCGUUUGUCAAGGCCAUUGCAGAGAAGAAGAAGAAGAAGAUUGUCGUCGCCUGAAUAGCCUUAAUGAUCAAACAUAACCCAGUGGGAGCUCAGAUGCAGAGAACGUGAAGUCAGAUUGAGCAAGUAGUCUAAGCUUCUAUUUUAUAGAGGUGAUGCUGGUGGGGCAUUUGGGGAACUUUAGAUUGUUAAACACAAAAUAUGGUUACUUGAAGCAAGCAAUGCAGAGCUACAACGGGAGCUUAAAGAAAGUCGAGUUACUUGUGAGAGUUUAUGACAACGUGGUUGUGAUGCUCAGGACCACUACUUUUGAAUGUAUUAGUGAUGGAAGAGCAUGGACCAAAGGUCCAACCACUCGAGCUAUGUCCAGAAGAUUACUUGAAAAUUUGACUGCUUCAAAGCUUAGUGGGCUUAAUGGGCUUGGUGGGCCUAGUGUGACACCCUUAUUACCCCAAUACAUAUUGUAAUUAUAAUGUAAAUAAACUAAGAAAAUAAAUUUUUUUCAACAUUGGUAAAAUGGUUCACAUAAAAACCUUCACAAAUGUUCUUCAAUAUCCAAAAUGAUUGAAAAUGAACAUUGGAAAAUAAAACAUAAGAGUUUACAAAUUGUUUUUAAAAUAAUAAAUACAA